AUUGAACGCUGGCGGCAUGCUUUACACAUGCAAGUCGAACGGUAACAGGCCGCAAGGUGCUGACGAGUGGCGAACGGGUGAGUAAUGCAUCGGAACGUGCCCAGUCGUGGGGGAUAACGCAGCGAAAGCUGUGCUAAUACCGCAUACGAUCUAUGGAUGAAAGCGGGGGACCGUAAGGCCUCGCGCGAUUGGAGCGGCCGAUGUCAGAUUAGGUAGUUGGUGGGGUAAAGGCUCACCAAGCCAACGAUCUGUAGCUGGUCUGAGAGGACGACCAGCCACACUGGGACUGAGACACGGCCCAGACUCCCACGGGAGGCAGCAGUGGGGAAUUUUGGACAAUGGGCGCAAGCCUGAUCCAGCAAUGCCGCGUGCAGGAAGAAGGCCUUCGGGUUGUAAACUGCUUUUGUACGGAACGAAACGGCGAGCUCUAACACAGUUUGCUAAUGACGGUACCGUAAGAAUAAGCACCGGCUAACUACGUGCCAGCCGCCGCAGUAA
rnacentral:rRNA from 1 species